rnacentral:lncRNA from 1 species
UUUCCUCAUCACUAGCAAGGUCUCCCUUUGUGGCUCAUGGGUCCUCCAACUCAUAAUCCUCCUGCCUCAGCCUAAGUGCUGGGGUGACAGGCAUGUGCCAGUUUAGGUGUCCUCUUCUCUGUCAAAUACUGACAUGAGCUCUGGACUAAGGAUCAGCUAGGGCUCGGACUCAGAAGCUAGGCUUGGGGACCUUGGCCUGGUUUCUCCUGUUUGUCAUCAGGGAGCCAGCCCUUGGAGUUGCCCUGGGCUGGAGUGUCUCUUAGAGGGCGGUCAUGCUCUUCCAGGCUUCUGCUGACCCUUCAUCGAUUCCAGCAUCCUGCCCUCUCUGCCUUUUUACAGGUGCAGGCUGCCACAGGAUGUCACAAGGAGCGCAGAGUGGACGUGUCACUGUCUGUGCGUGUGUCUGGCCGUGAGCUGCUUCUGCUAGAGGCGGACACUAGCAAGCAACGUAGGAGGAGCCGCCGGGGCUGGAACAUGAGGGCCUCCCUCCACCAGGCUGUCUUCAGCACCCCCAGAGCCCUUCAGCUACAGUUGUCCUCCAUGGUCACCCCAGCAAGGGUACAGAUGUUUUCCAAGGUGCUGGUGGACCAGGACUCAGCACAGCUGCUCCUCAAAACAUCUGAGGGGAGACGGGGAGGCUGGGUCCUCAGCCUGUGGAGCCUUGCCCAACACUCGGUGGCUGGCUGGACAAAAGUGCCCCGUGUCCUUAGCCUCAAGAGUAUGCUAAAGCAGAAGAUGGCGUUCAGAGAAGGUUCUGUUAUGGUGGCCACUGACUCAGCCAUGCUGAGCUUCCUCCUGCGGGAUAAGUAUGAGGAGACAGGGAAUGGCAGUCUGCACAGCAUGACCUGCACCAUCACUCAGAAUUACAGCCAGGCCUUGCCGGCAGAGCUCCAGCUGAGAGGGCGGCAGCAGACCUACACUGGAGCCCUUGGGGGCCAGGCCAGCAUCCAUGGUGACUUGAUCAGCCUGGCCCUGGAUGGGACCUGCACCUGGGAUCUUGGGCAUCAUCAGUUUUCAGACAACCUGACUCACAACUUGGGCCCAUUGGGUGAUGCAGGACCAGCCUCCAAUUCUGGGUUGCAAGUGCCCAGUGCCCAGGAAUCCUCCAACCGCUCAGCACAGAUGGAAUUGUGGAGUGCAAACUGUCACCUCAAUGCCAGUCUUGACCCCUCAAGCCCCACCAUUCCCAGCCACAGACACAGGGCUGUCCCCUUCUCCAUAUAUGGCCAUGGGCACAUUCAGGUCUCUGUGGACAUUCGUGAUGGUGCCGCCAGCUUUGAGCACUCCACAUAUAUUUCAACAGGCCCUCUAUCCAUCAACUGCUCUGUAAACUACUGGGCCCAUGAGGGCCGUCUGGAGCUAUGGGGCCACAGCCAGCACGACAGUGAGGUCCUGUUGCAGGCCGGGCUCCCGGAUGAGGCCAACCUGCAAGCUGAACUACAGAUACAGGGUGAGCUUGGAUCCGGAGGGCAGUAUUGCUGAAGUUUUCUUGUCUGCCAGGCCCCACCACCCUUGAGUCCCAAAUAAACACAUGGACACUAUAUUAAUUAUUAAACUG